UUUGCUUGCAAGUAGUGGGCGAUGUGUGUGACUUAGAUGAUAUGGCAAGUUUUUUAGGCAUAUUCUUGCUUAAAAAUAAAGUUGAAAAGUUUUAGAUUACUUGCCACAAGACGAGAAUAUGGUAUGACGAUUACUUGGAAAGAAGUCAAGUGGAGCUUGUAAUUUGAAUGGUCUAUAGAAAGUUUUAUUGUGAACUAUACCAUGUUCCUGCAAGAUCUGCACUGACGGUUUGAGAUCUAAGUAGAUGAUAUAAGAUGUACGUUUACAGUUCGAUAUCUACAGUGCUGGUAUGAGAUCAUCGAUGACAUUAUAAGAUCAGCAGUGACAGUACGAGAUAGCCGGUAACAGAAUUAGUUCUGCAGUGACAAUUUGAGAUCUGCAGUGACAGUAUGAGGUCUGUGGUGACAGUAUGAGAUCUGCAGUGACAAUAUGAGAUCUGCGGUGACAGUAUGAGAUCUGCGAUGACAGUAUGAGAUAUGCAGUGACAAUAUGAGAUCUGCGGUGACAAUAUGAGAUCUGCCAUGACAUGAAAUCUGCAGUGACAGUACAAGAUCUGUGGUGACAAUAUAAGAUCUGCUGUGACAAUAUGAGAUCUUCAGUUACAGUAUGAGAUCUGCCGUGACAUGAGAUUUGUAGUGACAUGAAAUCUGAAAUGACAACAUGAGAUGGGUAUGAGAUCUGUGGUGACAGUGUGAGAUCUUCACUGACAUGAGAUCUACGGUGAGUGUAUGAGAUCUGCCGUGACAAUAUGAGGUUUGGGUGACAGUAUGAGGUCUUCAGUGACAUGAGAUCUGUGAUUGGAGAAGGAGAUAUGCCAUGACAGUAUGAGGUCUGUUGUGACAGUAUGAGAUCUGUGGCAACAUGAGAUCUGCAGUGACAGUUUGAAGUUUGUGGUGACAAUAUGAGAUCUUUGUUGACAUUAUGAGAUCUGCAGUAACAAUAUGAGAUCUGUGAUGACAUUAUGAGAUCUGUGGUGACAGGAUGAGAUCUUCAAUGACAGUAUGAGAUCUAUGGUGACAGUAUGAGAUCUGUGGUGACAGUAUGGGAAUAACGUUGACAUGACGAGAUCUGUAGUGACAGUAUGAGAUCCAUGGUGUCGGUAUGAGGUCUGUGGUGACAGUAUAGGAUCAACGGUGACAAUAUCAGUUCUGUGGCCAGAGUUUCACAUUCCCAGCUUUUUAUGUUGGUGUGUGUUCUUUGAUGUAAAGAUCAUCAGGAAAUAGAGAAACUACAUGAAAGAAGUGCCAUUGCAUUACAAUAUGAAUGGAUAAGAACUGUGAUAGGAAAUCAAGAUCUUAAGCAGCUUUUAUCUGGUUUGUUUUUUAUAAACUUUUGUACAAACCUGCAACAUAUGGAUUCACAUGGAAGUUUAUGGUACACACUAAAGAAAAAAACAAGUGGAAAAGAAAAUAAGUAAGGAAAUAUAUUCUAUUGGUGUCAUUGACAUGUGUGCUCAAUGCAGUAGACAGUUUCAUUAGGUAAGUCACGAUACAUACCUUUCAUACAUGUACAGUUUGGGAUUUAGUUAGUUAGUUUGUCAGUUAAGCAGGGCUUGACUAAUGCUUUGAAAGGAAAUCUUCUUAAAAUUUUCACUUGUCUAGCUGCAGUUUAUACUUGUCUUGUUAUUUUCUAAGGAAAUAGGCAUACUUUACUGUAUUAAUUUAUUCAUUAGCUCAACUUUUCGAAGAAAAUGUAUCUAUUGCACUCGCCCCGGCGUCGGCGUCGCCGUUGGUUGAAGUUUUUGGUAAAGUCAAAUAUCUCUGUUACUAUCAAAGCUAUUGACUUGAAACUUAAAAUAGGCAUUUACUAUCAAAGUCUACACCAGGAGAAACAAUCCCCAUAACUCUGGUUUGAAUUUUGACAGAAUUAUGCCCCUUUUUAACUUAGAAUUUUUGGUUAAAGUUUUUGAUAAAGUCAAAUAUCUCUGUUACUGUCAAAACUAUUGACUUGAAACUUAAAAUACUUAUUUACCAUCAAAAUCUACACCAGAAGAAACAACCCCCACAACUCUGAUUGGAAUUUUGACAGAAUUAUGCCCCUUUUUAACUUAGAUUUUUUUGUUAAAAUUUUUGAUAAAGUCAAAUAUCUCUGUUACUAUCAAAGCUUUUGACUUGAAACUUAAAAUACUUAUUUACCAUCAAAGUCUACACCCGGAGAAACAAUCCCCAUAACUGUGAUUUGAAUUUGGACAGAAUUAUGCCCCUUUUUGACUUAGAAUUUUUUGUUAAAUUUUUUGAUAAAGUCAAAUAUCUCUGUUACUGUUAAAGCUUUUGACUUGAAACUCAGAAUAGUUAUUUACUAUCAAAGUCUACACCAGGAGACACAAUUCCCAUAAUUCUGAUUGAAUUUUGACAGAAUUAUGCCCCUUUUUAACUUAGAAUUUUUAAAAAUUUUUUUUGAUAAAGUCAAAUAUCUCUGUUACUAUUAAAGCAUUUGACUUGAAACUCAAAAUAGUUAUUGUCUAUCAAAGUCUACACCAGGAGACACAAUUCCCAUAACUCUGAUUUGUAUUUUGACAGAAUUAUGUCCCUUUUUAACUUGGAAUUUUUUUUACAGGCAAAGCUCGAAUUCAGAGUCAAGCACUGAGAAAAGUCGAGCGCGCUGUCUUACGGACAGCUCUUGUUAUAAGUCUAGUCAGAAGUCUGUUGAAAACAAUAUUACAUAUAGCAUAAUCUUGUCGUGGACUACAUCAUAGUGUAGUAACAGAACAGGAGGGGUUUAGAUUUUAGAGUUGCAAACUUACAAGCAACAAGUGGAUUUGUCAAGCCCUGUUAAACCUCCGAUAUAGGAACAGUAUGUUAAUGGGGCACAACUCUAGAUAAUGUCAGACCUAAUGUUCAUAAUGUAGAUCUGUAAAAUAUUGAAAACCAGAAAUCAAUCUUAUUUAUUACAUUUCUUCUGUUUAACAUGAAUUUUUAUUGAAUGACCAGUGCUUUAUAAGAAUACAUGUACAUAUUUAGAGUGGUAACGAGCUUUUGUAAAACUGAAAGAUUCGUAUUGUUUCUUUUAAAGUUUUAUUGGCUGGUCUAGUUUUUUGAAAAGAAACCUAUAAGGUGUUGUCAUCACUUGAUUUAAAACUUUGUACACAGAAAGGGACUACAGGAAUGCACUCUGUCCGUCCACAAAUCUGAAUCCUGCAGUUACUCAAAAAGUAUUCAAGCUAGGCUCAUAAAACUUGGUAUGUAAAUAGAGGGCAAUAUGUAGAUUAUUCCUGUACAUGACUUACGCUUGUAGGCCAUAGGUAAAUGUCACUAUUGAAGGUCAAGGAAAAAUUGUUACCGCUCCAUAACUUUUAUAUGCAUUGAUGGAAUAUCUUAGUACUGCACACAAAUGUUCCCCAUGAUGAGACAAUUUGUCAUGUACAUGAUCUUUGCUUGUAGUUCAAGGUCACUAUAAUUGAAAUUUAAGUAAAAAUAAAUUUUGUUUCUUAGCUCCUAAAUGCCUUGAAGCAUUUUUAGUCCGAACACUGUUGCCAACAACCACAAGGGAUGAACACUAACAAAAUUUUCGACUGGUAGGUGACUUUCGUAUUGCCACUGAAAUACUUUGUCAAUUGUUUAACAGAGUCAUGAACCUUGAUCUGUUUUUGAUCUGUGAUACUUCUCUUAUACCAGUGGUUGGAAUUCUACCAAACGCCACAGGAGUUACCACUGCCUUGCCUAGUUGUGUAUAGCAUUUAAAUGAUAUGUAUCAGUGGUUCAGUGAUUUUCCCGGGAGUUAUGGCCCUUUUGACAUUUUACAAUUUCUGCCUGAUAAGUGGUGGAAGACAUACAUUUUUCUUGAAAAACAACCUCUAGUUUACAGUUGGUAACAAAUAAAAGUAUAUUUGUUAUGGUUAUUGUAACAAAUAAAAGUAUAUUUGUUAUGGUAACAAAUAAAAAUAUAUUUGUUAUGGUAACAAAUAAAAGUAUAUUUGUUAUAGUAACAAAUAAAAGUAUAUUUGUUAUGGUAACGAAUAAAAGUGUAUUUGUUAUAUGUUAAGAUAUUGACAUAAAUCUCGAGAUGUGCCCUUCUAAGACUUUCAUUUUAAAAGACAUAUAGAAUACAUCAUUUAGUUGUGCUGUGUGUUGGAAUUAGUUCAUGAAGCAUUUAUUGAGAUAUAUUACGGAAAUGGAUCAGAUUUCAAGACUUGUUAAUCCCUCGUCGUGGCAGAGGGAUUAUAGGAAUGGUCUGCGUCCGUCCUUCCGUCCGUCCUUCCGUCUGUCCUUCCGUCCGUCCUUCCGUGCCCGCGAAAUGAUGGUUAAGUGACUGCAUAACGGUACUUUCUCUUUGAUGUCAUUCAUUCCGUUCUGUUUAUGUGACCUUUUUCUUUUUAUGUGACUGUUAGAACAAUAGAGAGAACAAUGGGGGUGUCACAUAAAUACCGUUUCGUUAGAACGUCCGUCCGUCCUUCCGUCCGUAACAAAAUCGUGUCCGGUCCAUAUCUUUUGAACCCAUUGACAUAUUUCCAUUAUAUUAACAACAAAUGUUGAACUCACCAAGGCGAUGUGCAGAACCCAUAUUCCAACUGUGCUGGGUCAAGGUCAAGGUCACACUUGGGGAUCAAAGGUCAUGGGGUGAUAUUUCGUGUCCGGUCCAUAUCUUUUGAACCCCUUGACAUAUUUCCAUUAUAUUAACAACAAAUGUUAAACUCACAAAGGCGAUGUGCAAAAUCCAUGUUCCAACUGCGCUGGGUCAAGGUCAAGGUCACACUUGGGGAUCAAAGGUCAUGGAUUUUUUAUCUGGGUCAUGUGGGUCAAAAAUUAGGUCACCAGGUCAAAUCAAAGAAUAGGCGUGUUUACACCCUAGGGGGCACAUUUUUGAUUCUAUCUUCAUAAUAUUUUUGGUCAGAAUGUUUGUUAUCAUUCAUGAACUCUUGGAUGCUUUCAAACCUGGGUCACGUUGGGUCAAAAACUAGAACACUAGGUCAAAUCAUAAAGCUUGUAUACACUCUAGAGGCCAUUUUUUUGCUCUAAUUUUCCCGAAACUUUGUCAGAAUGUUUGUUUUCAUAAAAUUAAGGACAAGUUCGAAUCUGGGUCAUGUGGGGUAAAAAACUAGGUCAAGUCAAAGAAAAUGAUUGUUUACUCUCAAGAGGCAACGUUAUUUUGGUCCAAUCUUAAUGAAAAUUUGUCAGAAUAUUGUCUCCAUGAAAUCACUAGGUAAAACAUGUUUACACUGUUAUGGUGUGUUACACAGUUGAGCGACUUAGGGCCAUCUUGGCCCUCUUGUUUUUACUAGUGAUGUCAAUAGAACGAUAUUUGUUCGGAUUAGUGAAUUUUUUUUUUUGUCGGAUUUGCUUUCCUUCUCGACCUUGCCUUUUUUGAUACGUCCGUUUGAAAAACGGGACGUACUAUGGGAACGCCCCUGGCGGGCGGGCGGCGUCCACAGACUUUCUCCGGAGCAUAUCUUCUUCAUGCAAGGAGGGAUUUUGAUGAAACUUGGCACAAUUGUUCACCAUCAUGAGACGGGGUGUCAUGCGCAAAACCAGGUCCAUAGGUCUUCAUUUUACUAGUAAGCUCAAUUGAACUGCAUUUGUUUCUCUUGCUUUCUUCAUGUAUGUUUUCAUAUAUUCUAACCUUGACUUUUUCUUUCCAUCAGUUGAUUGCUGGUGCUCAAUUUCAUGAAUCAAAAUCUUGCUUGCUUGAUCAUGAAAGUAUGCCUGUAUCAUCGAAUUCGCUUUUGCGUUAGUCUUGAAAUUUGGAACAUUCAAAAACGGCUUAAUGGUGGGCACCAAGUAUUCACGUCUUUCUAUUUUAAAUUUGUAAACAUUAAAUAGCGAACACUUGUUGUAACUAGAAACUUGCUACUUGAAAGUUCGUACAUUAAGUGGUGUAUCCGCUUUUUUCUUACUAGUUGUCAUUUUUAGCUCCACUAAAAAAGCGUGGGGGGGGGGGGGGGGGGGGGGGGGGGCUAUACUUCUCGCCCCGGCGUCGGUGUCGGCGUGACCCUUCUUGGUUAAAGUUUUUCGGCAACCUUUGUUUUUCUGUCAUAUCUUUGUUACUAUUGCUUAUAUCUUACUGUAACUUCACAUAAACAUUGUCCAGUAUACAAACAAUAUAUGUAUAGGUGCUGAGCUCAUUAUACCCAAGGUCAAGGUCACCAAGGUGUUAUACUUAAGUUAUUUUUAAGGUUAAAGUUUUUCGGCAACCUUUGUCUUUCUGUCAUAUCCUUGUUACUAUUGCUUAUAUCUUACUUUAACUUCACAUAAACAUUGUCCAGUAUAAAAACAAAGUAUGUGUAGGGGCUGAGCCCAUUAUACCCAAGGUCAAGGUCACCAAGGUGUUAUACUUAGGUUAUUUUUAAGGUUAAAGCUUUUCGGUAACCUUUGUUUUUCUGUCAUAUCUUUGUAACUUUUGCUUAUAUCUUACUGUAACUUUAAAUAAACAUUGUCCAGCGUACAAACAAAGUAUGUAUAGGGACUGGGCCCAUUAUGCCCAAGUUCAAGGUCACCAAGGCCUUGUACUUAGGUUAUUUGUAAGGUUAAAGCUUUGUUUUUCUGUCAUAUCUUUGUUACUUUUGCUUUUAUUAUACUGUAAGUUCACAUAAAUAUUGUCCAGCAUACAAACAAAGUAUAUGCAGGGGCUGGGCCCAUUAUUCCCAAGGUCAAGGUCACCAAGGAGUUAUACUUGGAAUUACUUUCAUAUUAAUUUUUUUCGAAAGCUUCGUUUAUAGACAUAUCUUUGGUACUUUAAAAGAUAAUGACUUGAAAUUAAAAAUAUUUGUUUAUAAUCAUCAUCUGCAUGUGUGGUUACAUACCCUAUAACUCUAAUUGUAUUUUUGACAGAAUUAUGCCCCUUUUGUACUUAAAUUUUUUUUGCAAUCUUCGCUUUCUCGAUAUUACUUUAAUGCAAUAUAAGAUAAAGACUUGAAACCUAAAAUGCAUCUUUAUCACCAUCAUCUGCAUGUGUGGUGACAAUCCCUAUAACUCUAAUUGUAUUUUUGACAGAAUUAUGCCCCUUUUGUACUUAAACUUUUUUUGCAUUCUUCGCUUUCUGAAUAUUACUUUAAUGCAAUAUAAGAUAAAGACUUGAAACUUAAAAUGUAUCUUUAUCACCAUCAUCUGCAUGUGUGGUGACAAUCCCCAUAACUCUGAUUUGUAUUUUUGACCAAAUUAUGCCCCUUUUAUACUUAAUUUUGUUUAACAAACUUCGUUUUCUGGACAUAACUUUGGUACUUUAUAAGAUAAUGACUUGAAACUCAAAAUAUAUCUUUACCAUCAUCAUCUGCAUUUGUUGUAACAAUCCUGAUAACUCGAACUUGUGUAUUUGAUGGAAUUAUGCCCCUUGGUGUAUCUUCCUUUUAUAGUAGAGGUCUCUUAUUCAGACAUAUAUUCAUUUUACUGUCAAAACUCCGAAUAGUGGAGCACGCUGUGUAAUGUAAUUUCAAAAAGGGUGCUAGGCUAUUGUUUUAAAAGACUAAAUUAUUCAAUGUCUUGGAGAGUAUUUAUUCAUACUCUUUACCUUUUUAAAAUUGUUGAAAUAUAAAACUGACAAGUUAUCGUAGCCCUGGGCAGGUUAAGACAUAACACCAGGAAAACUACAUCUUAAUUUGGUAAUCAACAGUCUGGCCGGUGCAUAUAAAAGGUCUAUGUACUAGACAUUCAGGAGGCAAGGCGGCAGAGCCACCAACCGUGGUUCUGCCAACGUAAGUCAAAAAUACUAUUAUGCCUAGUUAGGUUACCUUCCAAAUAUGUAGAUUUCAUGAAAGACAACUCAAACAUAAUUAGUUCUUAACAUUUUACAGUAGCUAAAUAUUAUUUGAAAGAUGGACACUGAGACAAUAAAAUUACUUGUUCUAAAAUACUUUAUUUAACUACCUGAAAUUAAAUAAACAUCAAUACGAACUAUUGUGUUUUCAAUCUUAUAUAUGUGUGUGAAAGUUCUACAACAGGUUUUACAAGUCUGGUAACACUGGAGCCAUGUGGCUUUCAGAGGCCAUUACGCUACAAGACGAUUUUGGUAUCCGAGGACCAGGAUGUUCUCUGCGAGAUUGUUGCGGCCACGUAUUACACGAAGUACUCUGCCACUAUACAUCACGCCGAUCUGAGAAGACGUCACGAGCCACUAGAACUUCGAAAACGCAAGUAGAAAUGUCUAUUUUUCCUUUUAAAAGUUUUGGGCAUAUUUUGGGAGAAAAAAUAGUUGAAUUCAAUCUAGCACGAAAUGCAAUUCAAAAAUUAAAACUGUUACUGUAAAGUUUGCCUUAAUAAAAUUAUGUAUCAAAACAGAGUUGCAAAUUAUGUAUAAAAAUAUUUACAAAUCUUGUAGGGUAGGCAAAAAUUAAAUAAAGCAAAAUAAAGCAAAACACUGAAAUAUAUAAAAUUUGAAAACUCGGUAAAUUAGCUAAAUCGGGCAGACGAAAGCUAGCUGUCAAUAUAUCAUGGUUAUAAAACAAUUGAAAUAUUACUUCAUAAAUAUAUCGCCAUAGGGUUUUUAGGUUGUUUGAUUUUUGACAAACCUAAUUUAUGAUUUUUUUUUCCAAAAGGUAGGCAUUAUCAAGCGAUGCCUAUCAAGAAAGAUAUAAGAUGAACAGAAGAGUAAACUAAACUGUUUACAAAUAAAGUAGAAAAAUACAAAAAAAAGAGAAUAAAAUGAAAUUACAAAUGUAAAAAUGUAAAGUACACGAAAACAAAUUAUGCUGCUGGCAGUUUAUCUGUUCGAGGAUUUUUAUUAAAAUUACAAGUUGUAUGUUAUGACAAAAUUAAAAGCAAGUUCAGUUGUCAAAGUAACGUGUGGGAAAUGUCAUUUAUAGUAUAAAAUUCAGAUUACACCUGUCAAAUAUUAGUUAACAUGUAGGUAACUGGUCAAAUUUGCUUCUGACAGUUCGCAUGUCAAACUAUAUUUUAACAUACCUGUAUUCAAUUUGAAAUUCAUAAUUUAAACUAUACUUGUUUUAAAAGUAUUUUGUCAUCAUAUUUUUUUGAGCAUUAUUUAGAUAAAAUGUUUGUAUGGGGUUUACUGUUUCAAAAGAAUGAAGGUUCGGAUAUUGUGAUUAUAGUAAAUGUAACGUGGCAGAAACUAAGACCACGGUAAACACAGGAAAUGUGUUUGAUGAUGACCUGUGAGCAGUGACUCACAAAGAACACUAGAUUAGUGUUAUUUUAGGUAUAAAGGCCGUGCAAACAGAAGCAUAGGAAACCUAUAGAAUAUACCUACGGAAUAGUAGAUAAGUAUGUCUACGUGACGAACAUAUAUUUUUUAUGAGCAGUGAACAAUAUACGUGCAUUUUGUCAACGUUUUGUUUUGAAUUAAUAUGUUGAUAUAUUUUAUCAAAUUGACACAACUGAAAAGUUUUCAUGUUAACCGAGCUUGUUGCACAUGUACAAGUUGACGAGUAGGGUGGAACAUUAUUAAAAAUUAAUAGAUGUAGAGAAUAUAUCUUUGAUGUGCAUAAGUUAUACAUAUGAAAAGUUAAAAAUUUAUUCGUAAAAAAAGAUAAGACCACAAUUUGCUUAAAUGAUACAGUUCAUCAAAACAGAAUUUAAAACGCAUGGUAAAAUAAAUGUAAAUGAAAAUAGAAGAUGAUUAAUAUCAAUAUUUUUCUUAAGGGCAAAAAUGUUUUUAUUAAGGCCUUUCUCCAGCUGUCAGCAAGUUGGUAUGUCAUGUCCUCGUGUAUUGAAACCGUAUAGAUCUAAAUAUAAAUUACACAAUAUUAAUAUUAAGGAAGUAAUAAAUUGGGUGCAACUAUUUUGUUCAAAAUUUCAAAAACAUGUAAGGGGAAAGGAAAAUGGGCGAAGACACUUGCUAUGUGUGCAUAAAAAUGCUGUGCAAAUUUGUGAAAAAUUAGAAGUCAUCAUGGAAAAAAUCAUAGAAAUAAAAUGCAAAGUCAUACUGGAAAUUCUGUGAAACAAAGAGGAAAAUAAUUCAUAUUCAGAUUGGGAAUUUUGUCGAGCUCAUGACACGGAGAAUUCAAAUAGUCGUUUUCACAUGGACUAGCCUUCGAAUUAAAAACUCCAUGGAAAUAUAUAUCCAUAGAAACAAUGAAUGUUUACAACAACCAUGGUGACAAGAUAAUAAAAUCUUUAUAAGUUUAUAACAUGCGUCUUGAUGGACAUUUAAGCAUGACCUAACAAUUUUAAUUUUUGACGGAGAAACUCUUUCAAGAUCACAGCCGAACAUAUAAAAGCCAUUAGGAAUGAGCUGUCGAAAUUCAAUAACAACAUGACAUUUGCUGAUCAUACUUUUAGUCAAUUUCAGUAUAUUAUAAUUCACCGAUGAGGUUACACAGUACAUGCCGCUUGAUGACACAGCCUACAACAUGACGAUGUCUGCACGUAAUACCACUGGGCAAAGACGAAACACAAAAUAAAUAGUCGCGUGGAAUUUUAUGUACAAUUGUAUUACCAUUUCAAAUAUUUACCCAUCGCGUUUUGAAUUUUUGUUAGCUCUGUGUCCAUCAAUUUUUGUUUUAAAUCUGUAUAUUUGUCAGCAAAAACGUCUGAUAUUACCAAUAAGAAACAAGCAUAUGUGUUCAAACACCUAUUUUUGCAUUACAAUUCAUAACAUUCAAAAGUUUCCGAGGAUAGUAAAAUACCUUUUUUUAUUGUUUUUUUUUCGUGAAGAAAUGAAGGAAUUUGUAAUGUAAUUUCAAAAAGGGUGCUAGGCUAUUGUUUUAAAAGACUAAAUUAUUCAAUGUCUUGGAGAGUAUUUAUUCAUACUCUUUACCUUUUUAAAAUUGUUGAAAUAUAAAACUGACAAGUUAUCGUAGCCCUGGGCAGGUUAAGACAUAACACCAGGAAAACUACAUCUUAAUUUGGUAAUCAACAGUCUGGCCGGUGCAUAUAAAAGGUCUAUGUACUAGACAUUCAGGAGGCAAGGCGGCAGAGCCACCAACCGUGGUUCUGCCAACGUAAGUCAAAAAUACUAUUAUGCCUAGUUAGGUUACCUUCCAAAUAUGUAGAUUUCAUGAAAGACAACUCAAACAUAAUUAGUUCUUAACAUUUUACAGUAGCUAAAUAUUAUUUGAAAGAUGGACACUGAGACAAUAAAAUUACUUGUUCUAAAAUACUUUAUUUAACUACCUGAAAUUAAAUAAACAUCAAUACGAA